rnacentral:lncRNA from 1 species
CACCAGCCAAUAGAUUGAUUUGGGGCUGUAGCUUGUUUUUCUAGCAGUUGCUGGAGUUCCUGUUCUCUUUGCCAGCGUGGCUGAAGCUUUUCUAUAACCCUCGGGUUAUAGCAAUGAAUUUCCAUUUAGCCAUGACAAAUGACUUUGCUGCUCCCCUCUCUCUCCACCGGGCCCCCCUCCUUGUUCUGAAGUCUCCCUCUUAGAGGUAGCUCGAGGGCCUUCCCUUAAUGUGACGGGAGCAGGUACUGGCACUUCCAGUCCUCAGAGCUGGUAUCACUCCAGAACAGGCUGAUUAUGAUGCAGAGGGGAGAGAGGCUGGGGUAGGGGAAAGACGAUGAGAAGAGGAAGAUGAGAGCUGGGUUGCAGUGUGAGCCAGCUUUGCCCAGCAGGUCUCUGAGCAAUACUGCAACCCAAGCAGGACCAAGAAGUCUGGUCUCAGAGCACUGCCAGGACUCUUUCCACAUUUGAGAAAAUGAGGCAACCUCCCUGUUCUGCCAGUCUCGCAGAGCUAGCCUCUUUCCACUUCUGAGAAAAUGAGGUGAGCUCCCUG